rnacentral:lncRNA from 10 species
UGAAUUUUUAAAUAGUAUUAGGUCUAGCAGAACCUCAGAAAGACACGUUUACAUUAAGAGGACUUUGACUAUUGAUAUGGGCAUGUAAGUUCUUUACUGCCACGUUCCUAGUAAUUCCUGAAUUGCACAUGUAUGAAAUGACAUUAAUUCUCUCAUACUUUAGGGUUGCUUGUCAGUGCCUAGAAGGAAUACAGUCUCUGUGGCCAGUCUUCCUGGAUCAACAAGAGCCUUGUAGUUUCCCAUUUUUCAUGUGCUAAUAGUGAAAAUGUUUAGAAAGCCCCAUCUAUCCUCCCACAUUGGCAUCCCACUGAUGUGCUGUCCUGGUUGCUAGGUGCAGAUUUAGGUUCCAAGCAGAACACUGCUAGUGUUCUCUGCAGUUUGUUGUAGAAUCAUAGUGUCUUGGCAACCAAAGGCAGAUCUGGUGCUAUGGAGGACCUGCUUACUGCUAUGAGGUGUUACUUUAUAGAGGUCCUGGAGAAGCUGAUUGAGGCCACGUCAAUGUUGCAAGGAGACAUGAGACUCACAUCAGAGUUCUAUGGCUUAACAUGGGGGAUGGUGUGAAAAGAAACAGAGAUCGUUGGAGAAAUGUCUGAUUAUAAGAUAUUUCUAAGCCUGGUGAAGAAAUAUAUAAGAGAAGCCUGGAGAAGAACCAGUAAUACCAGAAAUCAGGGAGGGGCCCUGAAGAGAAAAGGAUAACAAAAGGAUGAAGACCUGUCCAAGGGACCCAGCAGCUAACUUGAAAGAGCUCUCAAUGGGUAAAGCUGGAGCAAUUUCAACAACAAAAUAAAUAACAUAUCACUGGAUUAUAACCUGAAGUAUAAAACGUAUGAGUCCAUACUCUUAUAAAUAAAUGAUUGAAUAAAUACAUAAAUGAGAAGAA